GACGAACGCUGGCGGCGUGCUUAACACAUGCCAGUCGAACGGAAAGGCCCUGCUUUUGUGGGGUGCUCGAGUGGCGAACGGGUGAGUAACACGUAAGUAACCUGCCCUUGACUUUGGGAUAACUUCAGGAAACUGGGGCUAAUACCGGAUAGGAGCUCCUGCUGCAUGGUGGGGGUUGGAAAGUUUCGGCGGUUGGGGAUGGACUCGCGGCUUAUCAGCUUGUUGGUGGGGUAGUGGCUUACCAAGGCUUUGACGGGUAGCCGGCCUGAGAGGGUGACCGGCCACAUUGGGACUGAGAUACGGCCCAGACUCCUACGGGAGGCAGCAGUGGGGAAUAUUGCACAAUGGGCGGAAGCCUGAUGCAGCAACGCCGCGUGCGGGAUGACGGCCUUCGGGUUGUAAACCGCUUUCGCCUGUGACGAAGCGUGAGUGACGGUAAUGGGUAAAGAAGCACCGGCUAACUACGUG
rnacentral:rRNA from 1 species